rnacentral:rRNA from 1 species
GAUCAUGGCUCAGAUUGAACGCUGGCGGCAGGCCUAACACAUGCAAGUCGAACGGUAACAGGAAACAGCUUGCUGUUUCGCUGACGAGUGGCGGACGGGUGAGUAAUGUCUGGGAAACUGCCUGAUGGAGGGGGAUAACUACUGGAAACGGUAGCUAAUACCGCAUAACGUCGCAGGACCAAAGAGGGGGGACCUUCGGGCCUCUUGCCAUCGGAUGCGCCCAGAUGGGAUUAGCUAGUAGGUGGGG